GAGCGGCCGUACCUGCCGGGCUGGCGGGCGGGCGCUGUCCGCGGCUGCUGUCGCCAGUCUGUGCCGCUGCCGCCGCUGCCGCGGAGGAGCGUGCACCAUGUGGAUGGGGUUUUCCAGACUGCUUGAAAUACGGCAAUGCCUUGCGUGGAAGAGGCAGAGCUCUGAUUCACACUGAAGACUUCAAAGCAAUUGGUGUGCUUGUUUUCACCUGCAGUUGGUGGUCUCCUUGGUGGUCAUUCAGUGGUGCCUGAAUGGCUUCUGAACGGCUCAGGAGGGACACACAGUGGGAGGAGGGGGAGAUUUUUGUCAGUUUUUAAGGAUUUAUUCUAAAUAAGGGAUGAGGAAAGCUCUAUAUAAAUCAAAUUACAUGGUACAUGAGCUGUGUGUCAUCAGCAUGCCUCAGAUCUGUCGGGACGUUCCAGUGAAGCAAGCAGGACUUCCUCUGCGUCUCUUACCUAACAAACUAUAUCACUUGUGUUACCCGCCACAAUGUGGGUGCCAGCCCUUCAGGAGGCCACUUACUCUGCAGGCUCUUUGUCAUAGAAACAUGGGGAAAUAACUCCUAAAACUAACCCCCAAACUUUGUUUGUCUUGACCAUCGCACAAAAAACCUGCUUAUGUGCUGCUGGAAGCAGGGUAACAGCACGCAGGCAGCCCAGGCUAUUGUAACAUUCAAUUAGUGCUCGCUUACACAGUGCCUUGAAUAAUCCGCAUGAAAAGUUGACAUUAUUAUUAUUGUUGUUGUUAUUAUUAAGCUAACAGUAUAUUCUCUGUGGAGCCCAUGAAGAGGAGCUGACGCACAAACAGCACAUACAGUAGCAACUGCAUGUGAACAGUGCCCCAGGAGUUAUAAAGGAAAAAAUUACCUUAAUAAUGGUUCCUCUGCUGUGGUGGGAUUUUCCUCUCUUUAAUUAUAGUUGCUGUUUUCAUUUGAAAUUGAUUAAGUGUUUUAGAAUGUCAAACAGAACUGGUCCUUUUCAAAAGAACACUCAAGAGAGCCAGCCCCAGCUAGGAGCAUAACAUUUUUAUUUCUUUUAAAGGGACUUGGAGUCUCUUUCUUCCCAAAUUGGAGGAAAAGAACUGGAUUUGGUGCUCUCCCUAUCACCUCAUGACUUUUUAAUCAUAAGGAGAGGUGGAUGCCUGUGCCAUGGCAUUGUCUGAAGAGUGUAAGACCUCACCAGAGGGCUACACUAAGGGGAAUCCAUCAUGCUGAUUUCUAUUACGUGCAUUAGAUGCAAGAGGCAAGAAGAACUGGCAAGUGUAGCUAUGUGUGGAAGUUACCUGCAUACUUACCUGCAAUCUCUAGUCCAGAGGGUGGGGUAUAUACAGCUUCCGCAGUGGAGGAGGGAGCUCAUCCACUGCAUAGUUUUCAAGAGGUUUAAAGAGUUAUAACGCUGUUAUAUGAUUUAUGAGAGUUAAAUUAAGUACUUCAUGUGUCUAUUACUCUCA